rnacentral:rRNA from 1 species
GACAGAGGGUGCAAACGUUGUUCGGAAUUACUGGGCGUAAAGCGCGUGUAGGCGGCUACCUAAGUCUGGUGUGAAAGCCCGGGGCUUAACCCCGGAAGUGCACUGGAUACUGGGUAGCUAGAGGACGGGAGAGGAGAGCGGAAUUCAUGGUGUAGGGGUGAAAUCCGUAGAUAUCAUGAGGAACAUCCGUGGCGAAGGCGGCUCUCUGGCCCGUAACUGACGCUGAGACGCGAAAGCGUGGGGAGCAAACAGG